rnacentral:rRNA from 1 species
AACGAACGCUGGCGGCAUGCCUAACACAUGCAAGUCGAACGAGAUCUUCGGGUCUAGUGGCGCACGGGUGCGUAACGCGUGGGAAUCUGCCCUUUGGUUCGGAAUAACAGUUGGAAACGACUGCUAAUACCGGAUGAUGACGAAAGUCCAAAGAUUUAUCGCCAGAGGAUGAGCCCGCGUAGGAUUAGCUAGUUGGUGUGGUAAAGGCGCACCAAGGCGACGAUCCUUAGCUGGUCUGAGAGGAUGAUCAGCCACACUGGGACUGAGACACGGCCCAGACUCCUACGGGAGGCAGCAGUGGGGAAUAUUGGACAAUGGGCGAAAGCCUGAUCCAGCAAUGGCGCGUGAGUGAUGGAGGCCUUAGGGUUGUAAAGCUCUUUUACCCGGGAGGAUAAUGACAGUACCGGGAGAAUAAGCUCCGGCUAACUCCGUGCCAGCCGCCGCCGUAA